GAUGAACGCUAGCUACAGGCUUAACACAUGCAAGUCGAGGGGAAACGACAUUGAAAGCUUGCUUUUGAUGGGCGUCGACCGGCGCACGGGUGAGUAACGCGUAUCCAACCUGCCCAUCACUUGGGAAUAACCUUGCGAAAGUAAGACUAAUACCCAAUGAUAUCCCCCGAAGGCAUCCGAAUGGGAUUAAAGAUUUAUCGGUGAUGGAUGGGGAUGCGUUUGAUUAGCUUGUUGGCGGGGUAACGGCCCCCCAAGGCAACGAUCAGUAGGGGUUUUGAGAGGAAGGUCCCCCCCCUUGGAACUGAGACCCGGUCCCAACUCCUACGGGAGGCAGCAGUGAGGAAUAUUGGUCAAUGGGCGAGAGCCUGAACCAGCCAAGUAGCGUGCAGGAAGGCGGCCCUAUGGGUUGUAAACUGCUUUUAUAAGGGAAUAAAGUGGGUCACGUGUGACUUUUUGCAUGUUCCAUAUGAAUAAGGACCGGCUAAUUCCGUGGUU
rnacentral:rRNA from 1 species